UACGUAGGGGGCAAGCGUUGUCCGGAUUUAUUGGGCGUAAAGAGCGUGUAGGCGGCCAGAUAGGUCAGCUGUGAAAACUCGAGGCUCAACCUCGAGACGUCGGUUGAAACCAUCUGGCUAGAGUCCGGAAGAGGAGAGUGGAAUUCCUGGUGUAGCGGUGGAAUGCGCAGAUAUCAGGAGGAACACCGGUGGCGAAGGCGGGUCUCUGGGCAGUAACUGACGCUGAGGAGCGAAAGCGUGGGGAGCGAACAGG
rnacentral:rRNA from 1 species